rnacentral:rRNA from 1 species
AACGAACGCUGGCGGCAUGCCUAACACAUGCAAGUCGAACGAUCACUUCGGUGAUAGUGGCGCACGGGUGCGUAACGCGUGGGAACCUGCCCUUAGGUUCGGAAUAACUCAGAGAAAUUUGAGCUAAUACCGGAUAAUGUCUUCGGACCAAAGAUUUAUCGCCUUUGGAUGGGCCCGCGUUGGAUUAGCUUGUUGGUGGGGUAAAAGCCUACCAAGGCGACGAUCCAUAGCUGGUCUGAGAGGAUGAUCAGCCACACUGGGACUGAGACACGGCCCAGACUCCUACGGGAGGCAGCAGUGGGGAAUAUUGGACAAUGGGCGAAAGCCUGAUCCAGCAAUGCCGUGUGAGUGAUGAAGGCCUUAGGGUUGUAAAGCUCUUUUACUAGGGAUGAUAAUGACAGUACCUAGAGAAUAAGCUCCGGCUAACUCCGUG